CUUGUUAGGCUUUCUCCCUAUCGAGGACUCGAGUGUCAUUUCGAACUUUCAAUUUCAUUUCUCUUCAGUCUCUCAUCUCAGCGCCUCAGCCACCGAGAGAGCCCUCUCCUCUUCUUCUCUGUCUUAAAUCCAACUUCGCCUAGCCAGUCACCGACCCACCACCAUACGGAUCAUCCAUCGCUGUCUUUCUCCGACGGUGGACCCUUCCUUCACGACAUAGAGCCACAGCCACCAUUGGUAUCUCUCUUGCGAUUCUCUCUAUCGCGACUCUCUCUCGCAAUUCUCUCUUUCAGGAGUCUCGACUCUCUCACGCGAUUCUCUUUCUCAGAUUCAGACACAGGUCCCUCUUUUGCUUUGCUUCUGCAGCUUUUGUGUUGGAGUUUUAUUUACCAACAGGUAAAUUUCUCAGAUGAGUGGCGCUUUGCUGCUUUCACAAUCCUUACAAAGUUGCAUUUCAUGUGGCAUAUUCCAUUUCAGAACAAUUAUUUUCUUUGAUUGGGUCAUCCUAUAUGUUAUGUCAGUUCCUGUUUUCUUUGAUUGGGUCUUCUAGUAAGUGGC
rnacentral:sRNA from 1 species